UACGUAGGGUGCAAGCGUUAAUCGGAAUUACUGGGCGUAAAGCGUGCGCAGGCGGCUUUGCAAGACAGAUGUGAAAUCCCCGGGCUCAACCUGGGAACUGCAUUUGUGACUGCACAGCUGGAGUGUGGCAGAGGGGGAUGGAAUUCCGCGUGUAGCAGUGAAAUGCGUAGAUAUGCGGAGGAACACCGAUGGCGAAGGCAAUCCCCUGGGCCUGCACUGACGCUCAUGCACGAAAGCGUGGGGAGCAAACAGG
rnacentral:rRNA from 1 species